rnacentral:rRNA from 1 species
AUUGAACGCUGGCGGCAGGCCUAACACAUGCAAGUCGAGCGGACGAAGGGAGCUUGUUCCUGGCUUCAGCGGCGGACGGGUGAGUAAUGCCCAGGAAUCUGCCUUGUAGUGGGGGAUAACGUCCGGAAACGGGCGCUAAUACCGCAUCCGUCCUGAUGGAGAAAGUGGGGGAUCUUCGGACCUCACGCUAUUUGAUGAGCCUAGGUCGGAUUAGCUAGUUGGUGUGGUAAAGGCCUACCAAGGCGACGAUCCGUAGCUGGUCUGAGAGGAUGAUCAGCCACACUGGAACUGAGACACGGUCCAGACUCCUACGGGAGGCAGCAGUAGGGAAUAUUGGGCAAUGGGCGAAAGCCUGAUCCAGCCAUGCCGCGUGUGUGAAGAAGGUCUUCGGAUUGUAAAACACUUUAAGUUGGGAGGAAGAGCAGUAAAAUAAUACCUUGCUGUUUUGACGUUACCAACAGAAUAAGCACCGGCUAACUUCGUG